AGAGAGACACAGGCGCUGCGAUGCCAGCGAGUGCCUUUGUCCAGGAGGCAGGCAGGAGGCAGAGGAGGAGGGGCCCUGGGAACUGCUCCUGUGCUCCUCCUGUGCUGCUGAGGGCACCCACAGACACUGCUCUGGCCUGAGGGACAGCAUAACCAGCUGGAAAUGUGAUGGCUGUGCUGGUCUGGGCACAGCCUCCCGAGAUGACUCAGGGCUUGCUGG